CACAGUAAAUAUCUCCACUCCUACCAUUGGCCCAGAGUGCUCUGAGCUGUGAGUGGGCCAAUCUAGAAAACUGAAGGACCCAUAUUUCUCCUCCCCUUUACAGAUAACCUUUAACGCCCUGUGGAUUCACAGGUGCCUUUCAGCUCACAUCAGCCUGAAUGAGAGCAAUUUGGGGCAUCUGUUGAGAAGGAACAGUCUUUUUUAGAUGCUUUUUUACAGCCUUUGUGGAUAACAGUUCUGCUGGGGUGGCCACAUUUCUAACAUUAGCAGUAAAUGAGCAGUGUGGUUAUACUACCAGUCCUACAAUAUCUACAAGUGUAAAAACCUGUUGUCGACAGGAAGCCACUAACAGCAGCCAACUGACAACACCAAGAAGAAUUAGGGUUUCUCUUUCUACGUGCUGUAAGGAUUAAAGCUUAUCAAGGAGAGCUUAUGCUCUGAAGUUCGCACCCUACAAGAGAUUUUUAAACUCUGGUAGACAACUUGGACCACGUGGGCUAUGAUUUAAUCUGACAAAGGAGCAGCCAGGAUGGGGUUGAUGGGGAGCAAAAACCAGCUGAUGUCCAAUGAGAAAUUUACAUCAGGAAGCCAUCCGAAAAACAGAAGUAGACCUCCUCCUGCCCCACCCAAAGGCAGACAAUUUAUCAGCCUCUCUCAUCUAAACCAAGCCUCUGCACAAGGUAAGAUGCUGAGCUCAAUUGCUGUU